rnacentral:rRNA from 1 species
AUUGAACGCUGGCGGCAGGCUUAACACAUGCAAGUCGAGCGAGCGGCGGACGGGUGAGUAAUGUCUGGGAAACUGCCUGAUGGAGGGGGAUAACUACUGGAAACGGUAGCUAAUACCGCAUACCAUCAGAUGUGCCCAGAUGGGAUUAGCUAGUAGGUGGGGUAAUGGCUCACCCAGGCGACGAACUCUAGCUGGACUGAGAGGAUGAUCAGCAACACUGCGACUGAGACACGGCCCAGACUCCUACGGGAGGCAGCAGUGGGGAAUAUUGCACAAUGGGCGCAAGCCUGAUGCAGACAUGCCGCGUGUGUGAAGAAGGCCUUCGGGUUGUAAAGCAAUUUCAGCGAGGAGGCGUUACUCGAAGAAGAAGCAACGGCUAACUCCGUGCCAGCAGCCGCGGUAAUAC